UGGUCUCAAGUGAUCCGCCCGCCUUGGCCUCCCAAAGUGCUGGGAUUACAGGUGUGAGCCACCGUGCCCGGCCACAAAGUGCACUUUAAAUACAGUUCUAUUUAUCUUCCAACAGGUAUAAAAACCAUUAUAAACUAUAUAAUGAAUUGGUUGUACCAGUUCAUUCAAUAAAUAUUUAAACAGUUAUUAAGAUGGGAAUUAUAUACUUUGAAGGAAACAUAAUAAUGGAUUUUAUCCUUGAGGCUAAAAAGCACUUGUGGGGCUCUUGGUCUCCUCCUCUUGAACAGAUUUGUGACUGUUUUCAACCACUACAGUUCAGCAGAAAUUAUGCAAAAUAAUUGUCCAAAGUAGGGACAGAAAAGACCAGGAAACUGGAAAGACUAUGGAUGUCAGCUGGAGUAAACAUUCACUCCCAGAGCCCCAAGCUGCCAGGUGGAAAGCCCAGCUAUCCUGAGGCUCAGAAAGUACGAGGAGGCGGCCAGGCCAUGUGGAGAGCCCAGGUGUAAGGUGUUGAAGUUGCCAGUCUCAGCUGCAGCCAGGCUUCAAGUCAUUCCAGCCCAGCCAAGAUCUAUCAAUGAAGAAGCCUCCAGAUAAUUCCUGCCCGGUACAAUCAAGUCAGCUGGAACUGCUACACUGCCCAGUAAAGAUAAACCACACCUGCCUGGCAGUGUCCAAGUUUCUGACUCAUAGAAUCUGUGAGCAUGAUGAAAUGGUGGUGUUUUAUGCCACUAGGUUUUGAGAUGAUUUGUUACACAGGAAAGAUAAUCAGAAGAGUCUUCAAGGCUGACUACAAAUUAAUGUAAUAUAAUGUCAAUGAAACUUUUUGUGUUAACAUGGAAUUGUGACUGAAGCCACAAAGCUGACAAAGUGAAGUGUUACAAGUGUAUCAACUCUCAACAGAGCUGCCCAAUAGAGGGCCAGGCCAAGCAGCAGCACAUGGGCCAUUGUGCAAUCACACCAGCCACUAAUGUGUUUGACAGGAUACUUAUUUUGCAAAUCUGCAUUUAUCAUUAAGUAUAAAGAGGUGCUUGCCUCACUUUCAAUGGUCAACAACCUAAGGUGACUUAAAAAAAAAUACUGAUGCCAAGUCCCUCCCCAGAUGGAUUGAAUCAGAGCUACUUAGGGUGGAGCCAAAAGGCUUGUUUGUUUUUUAAAGCUUCCCAGGUAAUUCUAAUGUGUGUGUAGUCAGGUAUGAGAACGAUUGCAAGCAAAAGCAGCUGAGGGAAGCUUCCCAAGGAGUAGGCUCAAUAGUAUGAACUGCAAAUACCUGAGAAGGGAAAAGUUCAGCCUUGUGCUGGAAAGGGGUUUAGCAUGCUGGAGCUGGUUUUCUGUUUGGUAGCCCUACAACUUUGGCCCAAUUACUUGGCCUCUGGGACUCAGAUUCCUCCCCUUUAAAAUGGUGCUAAUAAUAGCACCUACCCUCUGUGAGGAGGAUGCCAUGAGACAAAGAGAUCAUGCUCAUCAGUCGAGAACCCUGUUCCUCGUAAGGAAAUGAAUAACAUGAAGUGAAGUCUUCAUCUCCAUUCCCAACAGUUCCCAUUCUACUUCCAGAAAGCCAAAAGUUGAAAGCUUUGAAGAAUGUGGAGAAACUAUGAAAUUUUAAUAGCCUUGGGGCACAGAAACUUAACACAAAGAAAGAAUCGUCAUUCAUUCAAAGUAUUCAUGGCCUUGGUGGAAAGAUUGAUGACAAAUUCUGUGAUUAAUUACAGUUGUUGAAGAAAACUAGAAGAAAAAAAGCACCAAGAGUUCUUGACUUAAUCAAAGACAGCAAUUUGAAUAAAUGGUCCUAAAGUCCACAGUUGCUCACACUGAAAAUCAGUUUCUUUUCCCCUGGUGCAAAGAACAGUGGUUUCUCCAAAACUGAAGUUGAACAUUAUCUGAAAUAUCAGGUCCUCCAGAAAAGGGACGUGUAGCCCCGUUUGUAAUUUCUGCAUUAGCAUUGCUCUCCUGGCAAGCAGGAAACUUCAUCAGAGAAGUCAGCCAAGGAACGUCUUUAAAUGGAAAUUGUGCAAAUGAGGAGCAAAUGCAUUAAAAAGUUGCUGACGGGCAUGAAAUGCUUUGAUGUGAAGACGGAAAACUCCAAGCAGGAAGGAUUUUAAGCAUUUUGAGUCUGAUUGACUCUGUGGUUUCUCAGCAGAGUUAUUCCAUGGGCUAAAAUAAAUGCAGAAAUGGUAUUUUGAGACCACAGCUGCAGAGGGGAUCAUGGUGAAUUUCAAUGAAAAUCCAGUUGAAUCUUGAGGUUUAGAUCUUAAAAAAGCAAAGGACAUGAAAGAAGUAAUAUUGCUUGAAAUUUCAUUGCUUAUAUCUAAAAGAAACUCCCAUUUAUUUUUAGGAGAAAUGUUGAAUCUUUGCAAUGUGGCAGAUGCUUCCACAAAACUUUCUCCCAAAAUAGGAGAUAAAUGUCGGAAAGAGGCAAUUUACUGAGUUUGCUGAUAGAGGUGGAGGAUAGACACAGGCAAGCAUACACAAGAGUCAUGAGGUUUUUACAUUAUUAUCUUUAUAAAUGAGUUUUGUUUGUUUUUCUUGUUUUGUUUUCUGAGAUGGAGUCUUGCUCUGUCACCCA